GCAGAUGACAGCAGAAUCAUGGUCUCUCUCAGUUUAGUGCUCACCUUGAUUUUACUGAACUCAAGCCUGCUGAUAUCAGUGAGUGGUGGACAUGAUGGUCACGGACAUGGUCACGGUGGACAUGAUCAUUAUGGUCACGGACAUGGUCACGGUGGACAUGAUCAUUAUGGUCACGGACAUGGUCACGGUGGACAUGAUCAUGAUGACGGUCAUGACUACUGCAGGAGGUCCUCUAAAACUGUAACUGCAUGUGAGGGCUCUAUCCUGCGUCUGUCCUGUCCCGCUUAUUCUAAAAUCAGGAUCCUCGCUACCAACUAUGGCCGUACAGAUAGAAAAACCUGCAUUCAGAACCGUCCACCACAUGAAAUCAGAAAAACCAACUGCCGUUCAUCCAGCUCUUUGUCCAUAGUGUCAUCAUGCUGUGAUGGACGUCAAAGCUGCAAUGUACCAGCCACCAACAGUGUAUUCUCUGAUCCCUGUUAUGGCACAUACAAGUACCUGACAGUCAAAUACUGCUGCUCGCGUCGUAGGAGCUGAUCAUUUUGUUUGUCUGAUUUCUCUGCCAGCGUCUCCCCUACAUUGACAUUCCACUUUUAAUAAAUGCUUAAUGCAAAUAA